GUUCCUUCUAGUGUAGUUUUCAUUUCAGUUAUUGUAUUGUUCAUCUCUGUUUGUUCUUUAAUUCUUCUAGGUCUUUGUUGAACAUUUCUUUCAUCUUCUCGAUCUUUGCCUCCAUUCUUUUUCCGAGGUCCUGGAUCAUCUUCACUAUCAUUAUUCUGAAUUCUUUUUCUGGAAGGUUGCCUAUCUCCACUUCAUUUAGUUGAUUUUCUAGGGUUUUAUCUUGUUCCUGCAUCUGGUACAUAGCCCUCUGCCUUUUCAUCUUGUCUAUCUUUCUGUGAAUGUGUUUUUUGUUCCACAGGCUGCAGGACUGUAGUUCUUGCUUCUGCUGUCUGCCCUCUGUUGGAUGAGGCUAUCUAAGAGGCUUGUGCAAGUUUUCUGAUGGGAGGGACUGGUGGUAGGUAGAGUUGGGUGUUGCUCUGGUGGGAAGAGCUCAAUAAAACUUUAAACUGCUUUACUGCUGAUGGGUGGGGCUGGGUUCCCUCUCUGUUGGUUCUUUGGCCUGAGGGAACCCAACAUUGGAGCUUACCUGGGCUGUUUGGUGGGGCUAAUGGCAGACUCUGGGAGGGCUCAUGCCAAGGAGUACUUCCCAGAAGCUCUGCUGCCAGUUUCCUUGUCCUCACGGUGAACCACAGCCACCCCCUGCCUCUGCAGGAGACACUCCAACACUAGCAGCCCUGCCUGAAAUUUCAUGCAUCCUUUGAGUGGUUAUACAGGUUGGUGGCCAAGUUUCCAAGCUCUGGAGCCAGGCUGCAGAAGUUCAAAUCCUGGAUUCAUAUCUCGAUACUUCACAGCAGGCGACUGGAUUGAGGCUAUGGCAGGAGACGAGGGGAAGAUGGCAGAAGAGUAAGACAUAGAGAUCACCUUCCUCCCCACAGAAAUACAUCUACACAUGGAACAACUCCUACAGAACAACUACUGAACGCUGGCAGAAGACCUCAGACCUCCCAAAAGGCAAGAAACUCCCCACGUACCUGGGUAGGGCAAAAGAAAAAAGAAUAAACACAGACAAAAGAAUAGGGACGGGACCUGCACCAGUGGGAGGGAGCUGUGAAGGAGGAAAGGUUUUCACACACUAGGAAGCCCCUUCGUGGGCUGAGACUGCGGGUGGCGGAGGGGGGAAGCUUCGGAGCCGCGGAGGAGAGCACAGCAACAGGGGUGUGGAGGGUAAAGCGGAGAGAUUCCCGCACAGAGGAUGGGGGCCCACCGGCACUCACCAGCCCCAGAGGCUUGUCUGCUCACCCGCCGGGGCAGGCGGGGCUGGGAGCUGAGGCUUGGGCUUCGGUCAGAGCGCACGGAGAGGACUGGGGUUGGCGGCGUGAGCAUAGCCUGCAGGGGCUUAGUGCACCACGGCUAGCAAGGUGGGAGUCCGGGGAAAAGUCUGGACCUGCCGAAGAGGCAAGAGACUUUCUCUUGAGAAAGGAGAGGGGAUUAAGAGCGCUGCUUAAAGGAGCUCCAGAGAUGGGCGCAGGCCGCGGCUAAAAGCGCAGACCCCAGAUACGGGCAGGAGAUGCUAAGGCUGCUGCUGCCGCCACCAAGAAGCCUGUGUGCGAGCACAGGUCACUAUCCAUACCUCCCUUCCGGGGAGCCUGUGCAGCCCGCCACUGCCAGGGUCCCGGGAUCCAGGGACAACCUCCCCGGGAGAAGGCACGGCGCACCUCUGGCUGGUGCAAUGUCACGUCGGUCUCUGCCGCAUCAGGCUCGCCCCGCACUCCGUACCCCUCCCUUCCCCCCGGCCUGAGUGAGCCAGAGCCCCCGAAGCAGCUGCUCCUUUAACACCGUCCUGUCUGAGCGAAGAACAGAUGCUCUUCAGCGACCUAUACGCAGAGGCGGGGCCAAAUCCAAAGCUGAGCCGCGGGAGCUGUGAGAACAAAGAAGAGAAAGGGAAAUCUCUCCCAGCAGCCUCAGAAGCAGCAGAUUAAAGCUCCACAGUCAACUUGAUGUACCCUGCAUCUGUGGAAUACCUGAAUAGACAACGAAUCAUCCCAAAUUAAGGAGGUGGCCUUUGAGAGAAAGAUUUAUGAUUUCUUCCCCUUUUCCUCUUUUUGUGAGUGUGUAUGUGUAUGCUUCUGUGUGAGAUUGUGUCUGUAAAGCUUUGCUUCCACCAUUUGUCCUAGGGUUCUAUCCAUCCGUUUUUUUUUUCUUUAAAAAAAUUUUUUCUUAAUAAUUAUUUUUUAUUUUAAUAACUAUUUUAUCUUCUUUAUUUCUUUCCUUCCUUCCCUCCUUCCUUCCUUCCUCCCUUCUCCUUCCUUCCUUCCUUCCUUUCUUUCUUUCUCUUUCUUUCUUUCUACUUUUUCUCCCUUUUAUUCUGAACUGUGUGAAUGAAAGGCUCUUGGUACUCCAGCCAGGAGUCAGAGCUGUGCCACUGAGGUGGGAAAACCAACAUUAGGACACUGGUCCACAAGAGACCUUCCAGCUCCACAUAAUACCAAACGGGGAAAA